UACAGGGGGUGCAAACGUUGCUCGGAAUCAUUGGGCGUAAAGCGCACGUAGGCGGUUCGUUAUGUCGGAUGUGAAAGCCCUUGGCUUAACCGAGGAAGUGCAUCCGAAACUGGCGAGCUAGAGUACGAAAGAGGAUCGCGGAAUUCCCGGUGUAGAGGUGAAAUUCGUAGAUAUCGGGAGGAACACCUGUGGCGAAAGCGGCUCACUGGACCACAACUGACGCUGAGGCGCGAAAGCUAGGGGAGCAAACAGG
rnacentral:rRNA from 1 species